rnacentral:tRNA from 1 species
GGCUGGUUAGCUCAGUUGGUUAGAGUGUGGUACUAAUAAUGGCAAGGUCGUGGGUUCGAUCCCUGUAUGGGCCA